rnacentral:rRNA from 1 species
UACUCGAGUGGCGAACGGGUGAGUAACACGUGGGUGAUCUGCCCUGCACUUCGGGAUAAGCUUGGGAAACUGGGUCUAAUACCGGAUAGGAGCCAUCUUUAGUGUGGUGGUUGGAAAGUUUUUUCGGUGUAGGAUGAGCUCGCGGCCUAUCAGCUUGUUGGUGGGGUAACGGCCUACCAAGCGGCGACGGGUAGCCGGCCUGAGAGGGUGUACGGCCACAUUGGGACUGAGAUACGGCCCAG